CGGCGAGUAGCGCAGUUUGGUAGCGCACUUGGUUUGGGUCCAAGGGGUCGCAGGUUCAAAUCCUGUCUCGCCGACCA
rnacentral:tRNA from 1 species